rnacentral:rRNA from 1 species
AUGAAGCGAGUGGCGAACUGGUGAGUAACACGUGGGNAAUCUGCCCAGAAGCAGGGGAUAACACUUGGAAACAGGUGCUAAUACCGUAUAACAACAAAAUCCGCAUGGAUUUUGUUUGAAAGGUGGCUUCGGCUAUCACUUCUGGAUGAUCCCGCGGCGUAUUAGUUAGUUGGUGAGGUAAAGGCCCACCAAGACGAUGAUACGUAGCCGACCUGAGAGGGUAAUCGGCCACAUUGGGACUGAGACACGGCCCAAACUCCUACGGGAGGCNGCAGUANGGAAUCUUCCACAAUGGACGAAAGUCUGAUGGAGCAAUGCCGCGUGAGUGAAGAAGGGUUUCGGCUCNUAAAACUCUGUUGUUAAAGAAGAACACCAUUGANANUAACUGUUCAAGGGUUGACGGUAUUUAACCAGAAAGCCACGG